UAUGUAGGCAGCAAGCGUUGUUCGGAAUUACUGGGCGUAAAGAGUGUGUAGGCGGUGCUCCAAGUCUGGUGUGAAAUCUCCCGGCUUAACUGGGAGGGUGCAUUAGAAACUGGAAUGCUAGAGGAUGGGAGAGGUAAGCGGAAUUCCUGGUGUAGCGGUGAAAUGCGUAGAUAUCAGGAGGAACACCUGUGGUGUAGACAGCUUACUGGACCAUUUCUGACGCUGAGACACGAAAGCGUGGGUAGCAAACAGG
rnacentral:rRNA from 1 species